rnacentral:rRNA from 1 species
GCACAAGCGGUGGAUGAUGUGGAUUAAUUCGAUGCAACGCGAAAACCUUACCUACCCUUGACAUGUCCGGAAUCCUGCAGAGAUGCGGGAGUGCCCGAAAGGGAAUCGGAACACAGGUGCUGCAUGGCUGUCGUCAGCUCGUGUCGUGAGAUGUUGGGUUAAGUCCCGCAACGAGCGCAACCCUUAUCAUUAGUUGCUACGCAAGGGCACUCUAAUGAGACUGCCGGUGACAAACCGGAGGAAGGUGGGGAUGACGUCAAGUCCUCAUGGCCCUUAUGGGUAGGGCUUCACACGUCAUACAAUGGUCGGUACAGAGGGUUGCCAAGCCGCGAGGUGGAGCCAAUCCCAGAAAGCCGAUCGUAGUCCGGAUUGUUCUCUGCAACUCGAGAGCAUGAAGUCGGAAUCGCUAGUAAUCGCGGAUCAGAAUGUCACGGUGAAUACGUUCCCGGGUCUU